rnacentral:rRNA from 1 species
UACGUAGGUGGCAAGCGUUGUCCGGAAUUACUGGGUGUAAAGGGAGCGCAGGCGGGAAGCCAAGUCAGCUGUGAAAACUACGGGCUUAACUUGUAGACUGCAGUUGAAACUGGUUUUCUUGAGUGAAGUAGAGGUUGGCGGAAUUCCGAGUGUAGCGGUGAAAUGCGUAGAUACUCGGAGGAACACCGGUGGCGGAGGCGGCCAACUGGGCUUUAACUGACGCUGAGGCUCGAAAGUGUGGGGAGCAAACAGG